UAGGAUUCAAGUCUGCCGGUUUACCUGGCCGCAUGGCUCUGCCAGAUGGCGUCGGUCGCCCGCUGCGAUUUAUUUCGUUCGCGGUAUCGUUCCCGUCGUUCACUCGGUGGGGCGGCGUGUCCUGGUGCCGGAGGAGUGCACUUCCUCCCUAGUAGAAACGUCGCGACCCGUUGGGUGCCGGUCUCAAGGCCCGGGAUGGCAGACCGUCGUGUCCCGCGCGUGCUGCGCGGGCGCGCGGACUCUUGGUGACCCGGCCGGCUGCCCGACGGUAUGAUCAGAGGGGUCGAUCCGCUGAAAAAGAAACACUGUGGUUGUGAAGCGUCCGGCCCGGUGCCGAUGCGUGCGGGGUUAACGGGCGUAAAAACCCUGGGUAAGCGUGCUUAGCACGACCCCGCCCCUGCUGCGUUUUCGGAUUUUCCGGUGUCCUCGGACUGGAUCGCCACCCCCGUCUGCGACGCCCACCUUCGGAUGGUCUCCCG
rnacentral:rRNA from 1 species